rnacentral:misc_RNA from 1 species
ACAAUCAGCUGGGCCAAAUCCAUCACAUGUGGAAACCUGUGAAGUGGAAUCCAUCCUUGCAAUGUCAUCAAAAGUAUCUUCAGAAGAUGAAGGGUGCUCUGUCCUCUCUCUUGAAAAAGCAGCUAAGUAUUUUCCAAGCAAUACAGAACCAGAACUGCUGCUGCUUUUAAGGCCACCUUCAUCUGCUGAAAAUUCUGCAUUCUUGACUCCAGAAUCACAAAAUAGAAUAUUAUCAUUCAUCUCUUUCCGAAUGGCUACGUACAUAUCUUGUUCUAGUAUCUCUAAGGUAUAUGCAGUUCUAUCAAUUCCAUUCUUCAAUGAGCUAGGCGCUUGAGCAUUCCUCAAUGAUGGAAACUG